CCUACGGGUGGCAGCAGUGAGGAAUAUUGGUCAAUGGACGCGAGUCUGAACCAGCCAAGUAGCGUGAAGGAUGACUGCCCUAUGGGUUGUAAACUUCUUUUAUAUGGGAAUAAAACGUUCCACGUGUGGGAUUUUGUAUGUACCAUAUGAAUAAGGAUCGGCUAACUCCGUGCCAGCAGCCGCGGUAAUACGGAGGAUCCGAGCGUUAUCCGGAUUUAUUGGGUUUAAAGGGAGCGUAGGUGGAUUGUUAAGUCAGUUGUGAAAGUUUGCGGCUUAACCGUAAAAUUGCAGUUGAAACUGGCAGUCUUGAGUACAGUAGAGGUGGGCGGAAUUCGUGGUGUAGCGGUGAAAUGCUUAGAUAUCACGAAGAACUCCGAUUGCGAAGGCAGUUCACUGGACUGCAACUGACACUGAGGCUCGAAAGUGUGGGUAUCAAACAGGAUUAGAUACCCCGGUAGUC
rnacentral:rRNA from 1 species